rnacentral:rRNA from 1 species
CGGGUGAGUAAUGUCUGGGAAACUGCCUGAUGGAGGGGGAUAACUGCUGGAAACGGUAGCUAAUACCGCAUAACGUCGCAAGACCAAAGAGGGGGACCUUCGGGCCUCUUGCCAUCGGAUGUGCCAGAUGGGAUUAGCUAGUAGGUGGGGUAACGGCUCACCUAGGCGACGAUCCCUAGCUGGUCUGAGAGGAUGCCAGCCACACUGGAACUGAGACACGGUCCAG